AGGAUCUACAGUGACUACAAUAACCAAGUGCUACAAAAACGCUGUGACGAGGAAUCUGAACAACAGAGAUUUGAGGGAAACAAAACACUUUCGACGAAGGUCCUGCUGCUUGUCUUCAGCUUGGUACCAAUUAGAGCUUCACUGGAGGUGAAAAAUAUUUCUCCAUCCCUCUACUUUGAGCCUAUGGAUGUUGUUACAUUUAAGGAAAAAUCAGUGUUCUUGAGGCUUGCUUUGCAAAAGUUCAUUGCUUUAACAUGCACCCACUUCAGAGAUGUGAAGACGUCAGAGAUGCUGGUUGCAAGUAAAGACGGUUUGUUGUAUAAAGAAAAUACUUCAUGUCUUGCUGUCUGAAGCUCCAGAGGGGACAUUGACAGAAAGAACAUUAAUAAGAACAGAGAAGCAGAGAAGCCUUGGAAAUCAUGCUUUUAUCUGAAUGGAGGAAGAAAUAAAAGGAGAGGUAAAAUGAAAUCUUGCCACACUGCAUGCUCCCUCUUCUCUUUGUUCCUGUCCAUUUCUAAUAUUAAAAUAAGAACCUUUCUUAACUAA
rnacentral:lncRNA from 1 species